rnacentral:rRNA from 1 species
UACGGAGGAUGCGAGCGUUAUCCGGAUUUAUUGGGUUUAAAGGGUGCGUAGGCGGACGCUUAAGUCAGCGGUAAAAUCGAGGGGCUCAACCCCUUUAAGCCGUUGAAACUGGUGAUCUUGAGUGCGCGGAAGGCAGGCGGAAUUCGUGGUGUAGCGGUGAAAUGCUUAGAUAUCACGAAGAACCCCGAUUGCGAAGGCAGCCUGCCGCAGCGUUACUGACGCUGAAGCUCGAAAGCGCGGGUAUCGAACAGG